rnacentral:rRNA from 1 species
CUGGAGGCAGCAGUGGGGAAUAUUGGACAAUGGGCGCAAGCCUGAUCCAGCCAUGCCGCGUGAGUGAUGAAGGCCCUAGGGUUGUAAAGCUCUUUCACCGGUGAAGAUAAUGACGGUAACCGGAGAAGAAGCCCCGGCUAACUUCGUGCCAGCAGCCGCGGUAAUACGAAGGGGGCUAGCGUUGUUCGGAAUUACUGGGCGUAAAGCGCACGUAGGCGGAUAUUUAAGUCAGGGGUGAAAUCCCGGGGCUCAACCCCGGAACUGCCUUUGAUACUGGGUAUCUGGAGUAUGGAAGAGGUGAGUGGAAUUCCGAGUGUAGAGGUGAAAUUCGUAGAUAUUCGGAGGAACACCAGUGGCGAAGGCGGCUCACUGGUCCAUUACUGACGCUGAGGUGCGAAAGCGUGGGGAGCAAACAGGAUUAGAUACCCGGGUAGUCCG